ACCUUCAUCUCAGAAUAAAAAAAGUUCUGAAAAAUGAGGUCUACGAAAGUUUCCAAAGCCCUGAACGAUGUUAGAGUCUGGCCCUUUUAUGAUCAAGUGAUCUUUUCAGUUUUAAUGGGAAAAAAUAAAUCAUUGUUAAAAGAUAAUCUUGUCACAUGGAAGCCAGAAAGGUGCAAUAUCAAUGAUUCGACUUACCAAAAAACCGCCCCGCGGAAUGGGAUAAAGCAAAUAACAGUUUGUUUUGUUGUUGCUGUUGUUGGCAGUCCCAGCAAAGUAGGCUUAAAGAAAUACAUUGUUUUAAAAAUAAUAAGAGGGCAAUACAAAUGCCCUUAAUAGAAAAGUGAAUGGACUUGAUACAGGGCUAUUUUAUAAGAACAAAACUGCCAAUUGUUCACAUUCUUCCUCUCUUUCCUCUUUUAUUCAAUUUUUGAUGCUGCAAAUAAUAUGAAAAUCCUGGGCGUAGCUCUAAAGUUAAUGCUUUGCUUGGCAUUGUGGUACAAAUCUAUAUAAAAGUAGUUUAGAUAUAGUUGGUAACACGAAAUUGUUUCUCUAAUAGUUUGUUUUCAAUGGAGCUUAUUCUUAGCAUGUUCAAAAUAAGCAAAUU